CUUGCCCAAUUUCGCACGUGCCUGUGGUCGUGUGUCAGUCGGUAGGUAUCCGGACAAGAGGCCGGACAGCCGCCAAGGGAUGAGGAACCGAGGGGCCCUCGGCUUUGUCAGGAUCGCGAUCAUCCGAUCGAGAUCAGUACAAACCGAAAGCCCAGCAUCUCUCUCAAGAGAUGCCGCUGAAGGUGACCUCACCUCUUGCAACCGUGACUGGCAGCCGGAGGCGAACCGGCGCACCCCGCUCUCAACGGGGGACGCGACUUAAAGCAACGACGGAGCGGGCUUUUUUGGUCUCUACCGGCAGUCCAACGCCGGCGCGGGCUACUGAAAAGGCUUGUCCUUCAUUGCCAGGUGUGCGGGCGGGAACCCUCCCAACCAAUCCACGGCAGCACAAUUCGGCUUCGGUUCGAGGUUUUGUCACCUUUCCAUCGGGUGGCAACGCCAAA
rnacentral:misc_RNA from 1 species